rnacentral:rRNA from 1 species
CAAACGACUCUCGGCAACGGAUAUCUCGGCUCUCGCAUCGAUGAAGAACGUAGCGAAAUGCGAUACUUGGUGUGAAUUGCAGAAUCCCGUGAACCAUCGAGUCUUUGAACGCAAGUUGCGCCCGAAGCCACUAGGCCGANGGCACGUCUGCCUGGGCGUCACGC